rnacentral:lncRNA from 1 species
CUUUAUACACACUAUGGGAACAACAUAAAUUAAAGGAAUUUAAUCCAGCAAAACAUAGUGCCGGAUUAGUGACUCAUACAUCCGACCCAUGUUUAUAUAGCAGCCUCAGAUACUACUCCAACCAAGAGGUUUCAUGUUUUUAAAGUAUAAGUAGUAUUUAUGACUGUACAACAAAUAUAAAUUAAAUUAUAUGUUAUUGUAUUUUAAAACAUAUUCAUACAAUUUGUAAUACUU